rnacentral:tRNA from 1 species
AAGAAAGACUGCAAGAACUGCUAACUCAUGCUACCGUAUAUAAAAAUAUGGCUUUCUU